rnacentral:lncRNA from 1 species
ACAGAAUUUAAUUCAACAUACUUACGAAUAUUCAUAGAGACAGAAAGAAAACCUAGAACUAGCGCCUUAAUAGAACAUGACACUGAAGCACACCAAUUCACACUCAAACGAUCAGAGUAUAGUCAAAUAGUCUAACACCCAGAACACACAAAUAGAUGCGUAUAUAAUGCAGUCAAAUAGAACCCACCCAUCCUGCUAGCACACCUCUCUGUCCCUCGAUCACAUCCCAUAAAAGCUAUUUAAGCUCAUCCAACCUAAACACACCACAUAGGACCUCGAGGGCCCAUCCA